GCCGGUACCGUAUUUUAAGAUAUUUCCAUAUCUCCCUCCAGAAUCCAGGCUUCCAGGAUAAUCCUUGAGCUUCCUCCCCUAAGAUCUUCCAGUCCUGGCCAGCCCAGCCUAGCCCUUCCCAGGAUGAGAGACCACGUCUUGGGGCUGCCAGGAAGGGUUGAAAGACACAGCUACUACCCAGAGAGCUAACAUAGGCCUGGUUUCUAAAGCCAGCCUUCAGUGUGCUCCUCUCCACUCCUUCUGCAAGACCACAUCUCCCAGGCAGGAGGCUCCAAAGUUCUGCCUCCUCAAAAUGCUCUCCAGCUCAGCAAGUCCUCAAUCUGCCAUCUGAGUCCCAUCCCAGGAGAGGAGAGGGCAGUAAAAGGGUGCU